UGAACGCUGGCGGCAGGCUUAACACAUGCAAGUCGAGCGGUAACAGGGGAAGCUUGCUUCCCGCUGACGAGCGGCGGACGGGUGAGUAAUGCUUAGGAAUCUGCCCAGUAGUGGGGGAUAGCCCGGGGAAACCCGGAUUAAUACCGCAUACGUCCUACGGGAGAAAGCAGGGGAUCUUCGGACCUUGCGCUAUUGGAUGAGCCUAAGUCGGAUUAGCUAGUUGGUGGGGUAAAGGCCUACCAAGGCGACGAUCCGUAGCUGGUCUGAGAGGAUGAUCAGCCACAUCGGGACUGAGACACGGCCCGAACUCCUACGGGAGGCAGCAGUGGGGAAUAUUGGACAAUGGGGCAACCCUGAUCCAGCCAUGCCGCGUGUGUGAAGAAGGCUUUCGGGUUGUAAAGCACUUUCAGUAGGGAGGAAAACCUUAUGGUUAAUACCCAUGAGGCUUGACGUUACCUACAGAAGAAGCACCGGCUAACUCCGUGCCAGCAGCCGCGGUAAUACGGAGGGUGCAAGCGUUAAUCGGAAUUACUGGGCGUAAAGCGCGCGUAGGUGGUUUGGUAAGCGAGAUGUGAAAGCCCCGGGCUUAACCUGGGAACGGCAUUUCGAACUGUCAGACUAGAGUGUGGUAGAGGGUAGUGGAAUUUCCUGUGUAGCGGUGAAAUGCGUAGAUAUAGGAAGGAACACCAGUGGCGAAGGCGGCUACCUGGACCAACACUGACACUGAGGUGCGAAAGCGUGGGGAGCAAACAGGAUUAGAUACCCUGGUAGUCCACGCCGUAAACGAUGUCAACUAGCCGUUGGGACUCUUGAAGUCUUAGUGGCGCAGCUAACGCACUAAGUUGACCGCCUGGGGAGUACGGCCGCAAGGUUAAAACUCAAAUGAAUUGACGGGGGCCCGCACAAGCGGUGGAGCAUGUGGUUUAAUUCGACGCAACGCGAAGAACCUUACCUGGCCUUGACAUCCAGAGAACUUUCCAGAGAUGGAUUGGUGCCUUCGGGAACUCUGAGAUAGGUGCUGCAUGGCCGUCGUCAGCUCGUGUCGUGAGAUGUUGGGUUAAGUCCCGUGACGAGCGCAACCCCUAUCCCUGGUUGCUAGCAGGUAAUGCUGAGAACUCCAGGGAGACUGCCGGUGACAAACCGGAGGAAGGUGGGGAUGACGUCAGGUCAUCAUGGCCCUUACGGCCAGGGCUACACACGUGCUACAAUGGCGCGUACAGAGGGUUGCCAACUCGCGAGAGUGAGCCAAUCCCUUAAAACGCGUCGUAGUCCGGAUCGGAGUCUGCAACUCGACUCCGUGAAGUCGGAAUCGCUAGUAAUCGCGAAUCAGAAUGUCGCGGUGAAUACGUUCCCGGGCCUUGUACACACCGCCCGUCACACCAUGGGAGUGGAUUGCACCAGAAGUAGUUAGUCUAACCUUCGGGAGGACGAUUACCACGGUGUGGUUCAUGACUGGGGUG
rnacentral:rRNA from 1 species